rnacentral:rRNA from 1 species
AUGAAAGUUGCUCAGAACGACGAGGCGAAUCCGGAUACGCACCCCGUUCGUCCGCCACACAUCCCUAGAAUAGCGAACAUGCAACUUUCCCCCUCCGAUUCAUCUAUCCAAAAACGCGAAACACCAGGGAUAUUUUCCCGGAAGUUUUCCCCCUUCACCGGUAUCACCUCAUAUCGUGUUAGGGCACCCCUAGCACCGCUACUUGUCUUGUCAUGCAUCAUUGUGCUUCUGUUUGCAUUAUAUUCAUUGUUUCUUCCCCCUCUUCUCUCUGAUAGACUACGAGACCGACGCCGCUGCUAUCCAGUACGACUACGGUGUUGA